UACAGAGGGUGCGAGCGUUGUCCGGAAUCACUGGGCGUAAAGGGUGCGUAGGCGGGUCUUUAAGUCGGGGGUGAAAUCCUGGAGCUCAACUCCAGAACUGCCUUCGAUACUGGCGAUCUUGAGUCCGGAAGAGGUGAGUGGAACUCCUAGUGUAGAGGUGGAAUUCGAUAGAUAUUAGGAAGAACACCGAGAUGGCGGCAAGGACGG
rnacentral:rRNA from 1 species